rnacentral:rRNA from 1 species
AUUGAAUGCUGGCGGCAGGCCUAACACAUGCAAGUCGAGCGGAUGAAGGGAGCUUGCUCCUGGAUUCAGCGGCGGACGGGUGAGUAAUGCCUAGGAAUCUGCCUGGUAGUGGGGGAUAACGUCCGGAAACGGGCGCUAAUACCGCAUACGUCCUGAGGGAGAAAGUGGGGGAUCUUCGGACCUCACGCUAUCAGAUGAGCCUAGGUCGGAUUAGCUAGUUGGUGGGGUAAAGGCCUACCAAGGCGACGAUCCGUAACUGGUCUGAGAGGAUGAUCAGUCACACUGGAACUGAGACACGGUCCAGACUCCUACGGGAGGCAGCAGUGGGGAAUAUUGGACAAUGGGCGAAAGCCUGAUCCGGCCAUGCCGCGUGUGUGAAGAAGGUCUUCGGAUUGUAAAGCACUUUAAGUUGGGAGGAAGGGCAGUAAGUUAAUACCUUGCUGUUUUGACGUUACCAACAGAAUAAGCACCGGCUAACUUCGUG